rnacentral:rRNA from 1 species
UACGGAGGGUGCAAGCGUUAUCCGGAUUCACUGGGUUUAAAGGGUGCGCAGGCGGAUAUGUAAGUCAGUGGUGAAAUCUCCGGGCUUAACCCGGAAACUGCCGUUGAUACUAUAUAUCUUGAAUGCUGUGGAGGUAAGCAGAAUAUGUCAUGUAGCGGUGAAAUGCUUAGAGAUGACAUAGAAUACCUAUUGCGAAGGCAGCUUACUACGCAGAUAUUGACGCUCAUGCACGAAAGCGUGGGGAUCAAACAGG